rnacentral:ncRNA from 1 species
UGGGCUGGUCGAAAGACCCGGGGUCCACCAAAUGGCGGGUAAGACACCC